ACCUGGUUGGCUCAAUUGGUAGAGCGUGCGACUCUUGAUGUCAGGGUCAUGAGUUCGAGUCCCAUGUUGGGUG
rnacentral:tRNA from 1 species